AGGCACUGGAAUGGGUUCCCCAAGGAAGCUGUGAAUGCUCCAUCCCUGGCGGUGUUCAAGGCCAGGUUGGACAGAGCCUUGGGUGACAUGGUUUAGUGUGGGGUGUCCCUGCCCAUGGCAGGGGGGUUGGAAUGACAUCAUCCUCAGGUCCUUCCCCACCCUAACUAUUCUAUGAUUCUAAAGGCCUCUGUGCACAGAUUAAAACAGGACUGGCUAAUACUUCUUGUAAGUCAGAAGAGGACAUUUUCCCCCUGAAGUUUCCCUAAGCAGUAAAGGAUUCAUAUUAAUGUGCACAUGUAGCAGUGGGGAAUGUUAUUUGAUUACUGCAGAACUGGUCAUUUACAAAUCGUCUCCUCACAUUUCAGGCAGCAUGCUCCAUCUCUGCUGGUGAGAGAAAUCAAUUCGUUCCAAGUGAUGGGCCUGAAUGACAUGUUAAAGCGCUGCAAUGGUGCAAAGAUCGAGUUGUGCUCCUCAACCACAUGAUGUGUCUGAAACUGAGGGUGAAGCAACCACUUUACAGAUGCAAACUCUGUGCCUCCAAUACUGUGAAGGUUAAAUGCACAAUGUGCCCAGCAACAGACUCAACCUGCUCACAGCACUGGAAAACAGUCCAGGUUUCCACCACAUUUGCUGGUGAAAGUGAUGUCAAAAGCCAGAGGUGCGAUGUUCUUUCUGUCACACCACUGCUAAACUGUGCUCCAGACUUGAGCACAAGUUGAGGAAUUAGAGUGCAUCGCUUGCUCUUCCUGUUUAAUUUGGCACUUGACAUAUUUUUAAGCUGUGUUUGUAGGUGGUAUACAAGACAGUCAUGACAGCACUUUGACCUACUUGUGUAUUACAAAGCUAGACCGCAGCUUAAUGCAAUAUUUAUUUUAAAAGAAAAAAAAAAUAGGUGAUUUGAAAGUAACUGCAGCAACAUACUACCUCUGACAUACAGCUUGCCAAAAAGAAACACGGACGCCUUCUGUGGAAGGUGCUUGUUCUAGCCCCCCGCCCAGCCACCUCACACAUGCCUCACAACCAGAACUGUACACAGCUACCAGCUCCCUGACCCCACCUAACUUGCCAGCGUGCCAAAGAGUCAGCUUUGAUUACCAUCAGCACUGCCAAUCUGGUGACACGCGAGGCCCCAUUGUAGUGGCACUGUACAAACACCUGCUGCUCCAGAGGGCUUAACUUCUAAAUACAUCAUGCAUACAACAAGGACGUAUAUUUUUAAUGAA